UUUAAUGAUGAACUUUUCAAUUGGGAAUCUCUCUGACUUUAAUCCAAAAAUAAGCAACCAUGGAGAAAACCUAAUUAAUUGACAUCUGAUU